CUUCCGGCUCUUCCUGCUCCUUUCCCAACUAGUCUUGAGUGUGGUAGCGUACACCUGCUCCCUUCUGGCUUUGGGGAAGGGGAUGAGACUGCGCUCCCGAACCGGAGGCAUACUGGGCCGCUGAGGCAUAGGAAUGGUCACAAGGUUUAAGCCCUGAAUUAAGUUUUCCCCCUUAGACGCCUCAAGCCCUCCAGCCCAAGAUGUAGCCCUCGAAUAGUCUAGCUGCGGGGUUCCGCGUUCAUGGUUUAAGGGAAAGUUAUCCAAACGGAAGUCCACCCCCGAAAACCAAUGAAGAAAGCCGAAUAGGAUUAUGAGAUGCGGGAGGGGGUGCCCCGCAGCUCUAAAAGCUCACCUCCUUACGACCCUGCCAAGAAUGUGGGUUGAGAAUUCAUCUAAGAACGCUGUGAAACAUGAGGCACACACAGGAGACCCCCUUUUCUAGCAGGCCAAUUCGGAUGACCCCCACCCCGCAUCAUUAUUGAGCACAGGUGUUGAACCCUUCACCUGUGUGUGUGUGCAGCGAAAGGGUCUUGACUUGAUGGGGCUGUCUGAGUGGUCCUCAACUGACAUGCAAUCCAUACUCUUUCAUUCAUAGAUACAGCUUUCCCUAUGGGAUUUUUGGAGGGGGAAAAUGACAUUAAAAAUUCUUCAGGGCAGGGGCAGUGAGAUGGCUCAGUGGAUGGAGAGAGCCAGACCUAGGGAGAGAGCGAAGAUCCUGGGUUCAAAUCUGGCCUCAGACUCUUUCUAGGGUGUGAUCUUGGGCAAGACACCACCCCAAGUGUGUAGGCUUUACCACUCUUUUGCCUUGGAACCAAUACACAGCAUCAAUUCUAAGACAGAAGGGGUUUCCCUGGACAGCAGAAGAAGGAAGGACAUAUUUGGAAAUGGAAUAAAAGCAAAAGGUCUCUACCCAUCCAUGCCUGUUUAUCAAGAGGGACUCAUCUAUGUCCUCUUGCAAUUCCACCCUAUUGGUUCCGUCCAAUGUGCUGUGAUGGGAAUAUGGGGGUGCUGGAAGGGAGGAAGGAGAGAAGGAAAGAGGAAAGGAGGAAAGCAGAGAGAUAUCUUGAAAAUUAGUUCUCUGAAAAUGGAAAACAGUAUGGCAGAAAUGAGACAGAGACUGUCACCUCAUGCCAUAUACCAAGAAAGUGACUUUCCUGAGGUCUGCUACUAACUGUCUCCACCAUCUCAAUCAAAUCCCUGGAUUUCACUUUCCUUAUCUAUGAAGGAUAUAUGGAGUUCUGGUCUUGCAGUCUUGAAUACCUGAACUCAAACACUGUCUCAGAUAAUUAUUAGCUCUGUGACCCUGGGUAAGUCAUUUAACCUCCUUUGGCCUCAGGCAAGUCACUUAACACAUUAACCGUAAAAUGGGGACAAUUCUAGCACUUGUCUCACAGGCUUGUUGUGAAGAUCAAAUGAGAUAGUAUUUGUAAAGUGCUGGGAAAAUAUUAAAGCUUUAUAUAAAUGUUAGCCAUUAUUAUUGUUGCUAUUAUUAUUAUUAUUAUAGUAACAGUAAUUCCUUAACAUUAUUCCAACUAUCUAGCUGACAAAUACAAAUGGAAAUGACUUUGGGAUGUAACACCAGUGUAAUGGCAAAAAUAGUUCAAAAUGAAAGAAACUCUUGUCGGUAGCAUGGAGGGGGGAAAUGUAUUCUAUUGUGGUGUUGGUGGAAUCCUAAGUCAAUACAGUUGAUGGCAUCAAAAAUGAUAGUCAAUUAGAGCUUAAGACUGAUCUUGUCUUUUGAUUCAGUAACCCCACUAGUAGGACUUAUAGCCCUACAGUGUUGUGGGAUGGGAAAAUGGGCCAAUUUGUACAAAAAUAGCCAUUGCAGCCUCAUUUGUUACAGCAAAAAACUGGAAGCAGCCCAUAUGUCUAAUCAUUGGGCAAAGGCUAAAUAAAUUGUGGCGUAUCAAUAUAAUGGAAUAUUAU
rnacentral:lncRNA from 1 species